rnacentral:rRNA from 1 species
AGUGAACGCUGGCGGUAGGCCUAACACAUGCAAGUCGAACGGCAGCACAGUAAGAGCUUGCUCUUACGGGUGGCGAGUGGCGGACGGGUGAGGAAUACAUCGGAAUCUACUUUUUCGUGGGGGAUAACGUAGGGAAACUGAUGCUAAUACCGCAUACGACCUACGGGUGAAAGCAGGGGAUCUUCGGACCUUGCGCGAUUGAAUGAGCCGAUGUCGGAUUAGCUAGUUGGCGUGGUAAAGGCCCACCAAGGCGACGAUCCGUAGCUGGUCUGAGAGGAUGAUCAGCCACACUGGAACUGAGACACGGUCCAGACUCCUACGGGAGGCAGCAGUGGGGAAUAUUGGACAAUGGGCGCAAGCCUGAUCCAGCCAUACCGCGUGGGUGAAGAAGGCCUUCGGGUUGUAAAGCCCUUUUGUUGGGAAAGAAAAGCAGCAGGUUAAUACCCCGCUGUUCUGACGGUACCCAAAGAAUAAGCACCGGCUAACUUCGUG